CACAAAUAAAAUAAUACAAGCUUCAUAUUACAAGCCAGGGGCCUCGAGGGCUAGAAUACAGAAGCUCAAUAAACACACGAGUCAGCGGAAGCAACAAUAUCUGAGUACAGACAUAAAACAUGUGGUGCCUUAGAGAAGGCUAGCACAAAAGAUACAACGAUCGAAUGAGGCGAGGCCUCCUUCCUGGGAACCUCCUAACUACUCAUGGUCUUCAGCGGCCUCCAUGAAGAAGUCACCAACGGGCUGGCAGGCGUCGGCAGGAAACUCCAUCUCCUGGGCUCCAUCAUCUGGUCGCAGCAUCGAAUCAAGGGGACAAAGGGGGAGCAAAGCAACAGUGAGUACUCAUCCAAAGUACUCUUAAGUCUUGCAUCAUAACUAUUCUAAGUAUGCAACAGUAUGAAAGAAGGGGGGUUAUAUGUGGACUGACUGCAGCAAUGCGAGAAUAGAGAGAGAAAAGCCUAGUCCUAUCAAAGACUAUCAUCUUCAGGGUCUUGCAGCAAUAGAAGACAUUAGUGCAACGUAACACAAUUAUUAUAGUCAUAUUGUUGCAUCAAUAUUAAAAUAAUGAGGUCACGCCCACAUAUCCUGUAAUGCCCCAAGAGUGUAACUUGCCUUAUUUGAAACCUUCUGUAUGUGGGUCCAUCUUGUGUGUGCCAUGAGAGUUCAAUGCAUGUGUUAUUUCAUGUGAUGUCACCUUGUCUUAUUUCCUUUUGCAUUCAUGCAUCCAUUCAUCCAUGCCUAUUUGUGUUUGUUGUUCUUGUGAUCCAUGUUGUGGUGUGUCAUGUGAUGAUGUGAUGUUGAUAUGUCAAGUGAGGUGGGUGUUGUUUGAAAGUAGGAAGCUACUAUGUUGGGCUGCACUAGGUUUCAAAACUUCUUCCUCUCUUUUAUCUCAAGGUCAAGAUUCACUUGUUCCAUCCUUGAUUCAAAAGUGCCCAUGUUUUAGUAUGUUUUGUGGUGGAUGUGAUGCUAUGUUUUUGUUCUUUUGAAACUGUGUUUUAGUGGUGCAAAUAAUCACAAAACAGAUCCAUUAAUUCUGUUUUGUAAAUAUUUAAAUGCUCCAAAAAUUCCUUUUCCAUUUUAUUUAAAUAGGUCAUAAUUCCUUAUGACCGGGGGUAUUUUUGCUUUAUUUUUAGCAUCAACGGUUUAGCUUGUGUUAUUUUUUGUCUGCGUUGGUUUUAAAUAAGAAACCCCCCUGGGUUUCUUUUCCCUGAUCAGGCGCCAGCAUGGGCCUCUUGCCCCCUCCCGAGGCCCAUCUCUCCUCUUUGUUUCCCCGUGGCACCCCACCGCGCGCUCCUUCUUCUUUCUCCUGACGGCGUCGUCUCGUGCAUGCUUUCCGUCAAAGGCUUUAGAGAGAGUGCGAGAGAAGUUGACGGCUUGCAUCCCAUCCGCGGCCAUAUAUCCUCGGCGUGCGUGCCUAGUACCUAGGGUUUAGUGUUUCUCCCUCCUAGCGCCGCCACCUCCCUCCAUCUCCUUCUUCCUCCCCAGGUAAGAUCUGUAGAUCGGGGUAGCAGAGGUAGCAGUAGCACGUCGCCGUCGUCCACCGCACGUCCAUCGCCUCCGGCGCCGGCCAACAUGUCAGGGAGCUCGGGGAAGGCCUCCGCGUUCCAUUCCCGUCGUCUUUGAGGUCGGUACGCGACCACAUCGACGGGCAGGACCUCCUUUCCGGCGUGGUCCCGGCGUUCCCAUUCCCCUUCUCCGGUUCUGCAUCAGGUCGUCGUUAGUUUGUCUACAGGCGACUCUCUUCGUUCGCGACCCCACUCUUCUCCUUCCUCCUGGUGAGCCUAGAUCCUUCCUCCCAUCCCCCUCUUUAGAUUCGGCCUAGAUGCUCGUGGGCGUGCCUCUCUGAUCGGAGAGGAGAACGGCAGUACUUGGCAAUGCAUGUGUGUUCUUGUGUGGUGUGCUCUGCUUGUCCCGAUGCUCACGGCAGCUGAUCCAACGCGGUAGGGGAGGUAACCGUAGAGGAUCCCCUCUGGCGCAGCAGUAGUGGUAGAAGGCCAUGCUCCGGUGAGCGUCGCUGUGUCGUCUCUGUUACAGGAGCAGAGAGGGGUACCCAAUAGGGAAACCCCCUCUUCUCUAUUAAGUUUUGUAGCGCAGCGUAGUGGUUUGCAGUGUGGUGUGUUGAUCAGGCGGUCGAGGUAUCGACACCCCGCGGAGCCACCCCCUUUUUUGUGAUUUGUUUCGGCACAGUAGCGCAGGGGGAUGGCUUACCCUGCUUGAUUUCCCUGUUCUGUCGAGCAGAGGAGCAGUAGCAGAGUGGUGUGCUUCUGUGUGUUGUACAGGGGGUCUUGGGUUCGAUUCCCCACCCAAGCCCUUUUAUUUUUUGCAUUUCCUUUGCUUUUUUUUUGCUUGCUAGUUUAUUGUUGUGGCAUGCUAGGUUAGUAUAUAUGGUAUUUUUGCUUGCCUCCUACCAGUAGGUUGCCUAGUUAUUUUGCUAGUAUGUGUAGUGAUGAUUGUGUAGGCUUUGUGUGCAUGAUGUAUGUGUGAGCUAGAUCAUGUAUAUGUGUGUGUAUGCACUAGGAUGUAUGUGUAGAUGGAUGUCACCAUGUAUAUGUGGGGUGUCACUCAUGUGCAUGAUGAUAAGCUUAUGCACUAGCUUGUGCAAGUGUGUGUGUAUGUGUGUGUGUGGGUUCCUCCCCCACAUACUUUGUGUGUAGUGUAGGUAUUCAUAUGAUGUUGUGCGUGCUUGCGUGUGUGUGUCACACACAUGCCCAAGGCAUGGUGUGCCUUGAUAAGCACAUAUGUGCAAGUUUAUAUGUGUAGGCGUAUGAGUGCAUGUUGAGAGUGUAAGUAGUGUGUGUGAUUCUAACUAGCAUGUGUAGGUGCUUAUUAUGUUUGUGCUUGAUGUAAGUGUGUGUGUGUGAUGGUUUGAUAAGGCCCAUGAACAUGGGGUCUACCCCUCAUGUGCACCAUUGGAUAUGUGAGUGUGUGUACAAGUGGAUGUGAGGUGAUGAGCUAGUGGAAGCACAUGUGAUGAAGCACUAUUCACCUCCAUGUGAUUCCAUGUAUAGUUUCUUCUCAGCUUUGUGUUCUUCUGUUCUAUGAAAGUACCUAGGUAUUAUAUAUUCUUUUGGGUAGAAUCAUCCCAGGAAUCCAAUGGUGGGUUCAUAUUCCACUUUGGAACAUUAUCUGGGAAUGUCAUAUUUCUGUUUUGUUCAAUGUUUAGAGCUUGGUUCCAUGUGAUUGAUGAGCCCAAGAGGUUGAUUCCUUGUUGUGGCAGUAGAGGGUGAACCCCUCUAUAGCAUGGUGGUGUUGUUUCAUGCUUAGGAGUUUAUAUGUGCAAGUUGUGCCUAGUCAAAGUAGGCAUGUGGCUGAAAAUUCCAGUUUAGUGAAAAUCUGUGAUUUUCACUAAGUCUGAGAGACUGCUGUUAUUUUCUUCCCUUGUAGUUGUGCUUGUAUAAGUUUAAGUGUUGGGAAUCAGCCCAGCACAAGUAGGAUUGCCAUCAAUGUCAAGGACAAUGAAAUCCAUGGGUACAUAGUUCCUAUUUGCAAUAAUAAGAACAUGAUUGAUCCUUCCCAUGGGUUUCUUGACAGUAGAAUCCGCAAAAUGCAAAUUAAGAGAACACUCUUCAAGCUCAUUAAAACCCAGAACAUCACAUGAAGACUUUGGAAUCGUGGAAACACUAGCACCCAAAUCACACAAAGCAUUGCAUUCAUAGUUUUUUAUUUUGAUUAUGAUAGUAGAUUCCCACUUAUCAUGAAGCUUUCUAGGGAUAGAGACUUCCAAUUCAAGUUUCUCUUCAAGAGAUUUUAUCAUAGCUUCGACGAUAUGAUCGGUAAAUGCCUUGUUUUGGCUAUAAGCGUGUGGAGAGUUUAGCAUGGAUUGCAUCAAGUACAUGCAUUCAAUCAAGGAGCAACUAUCAUAAUUGAAUUCGUUGAAAUCGAAAGUAGUAAUUUUAUUACUACUCAAAGUUUUAAUAUCUUCUACUCCACUUUCAAUGCUUUUAGCAUCAAGAUAGAUGGACUCCAAAUCAUUGGGGCGCUUUUUAACCAAAGUGGAUUCAUAUCCAGCCCCAUCAUCAUUGGGUUUGACACAAGAAAACAAAGAUUCAAUGGGAGUCACACCAAGCACUUUAAGAUCUUCGUCAUUCUUAUCACGAGAACACGCCUUUUUUAGCCAUUCAUGUCUAGCACGAAUUUGGGUUGUUCUUUCUUUGCUCUCAAUCAUGGAAACACGCAUAGCUUUCAAAGUUUCAUCCAUAUUGAUCUUGGGAGGAGCACAUCUAACUUUCAAAGCAUCAAUAUCACUAGACAUUCUAUCAACGCUCUUAGCCAAAUCGUCAAUUUUGAGUAGUUUUUCCUCUAUGGACGCAUUGAAAUUUUUUUGCGAGUUGAUAAACUCUUUGAUAUUACUCUCUAGAUCAGAGGGUAAUCUAUUGUAAUUUACAUGAGUGUUGUUGUAGGAGUUGCCAAAGUUAUUAGAGGGGUUACUAGGAAAAGGCCUAGGAACAUAGUUUCCUCUAAAAGCAUUGUUGUUGCCAAAAUUAUUCCUACCAACAAAAUUAACGUCCAAGCUAGCGUUGCUGCUCUCAAUCAAGGAAGACAAGGGCAUAUCAUUAGGAUCUAAAGGAGCACUCCUACUAGCAACCAAAUUCAUUAACUCAUCCAUCUUAGCACUCAACGAGUUAAUUUCUUCUAUAGCGUGUAGUUUCUUACUAGUAGGUGACCUUUCAGUGUGCCACUGGGAGUAGUUCGUCAUGAAAUUGUCUAGGAGUUUCAUGGCUUCUCCUAACGUGAUUUCCAUGAACGUUCCAUCUGAGGCGGAGUCCAAGAUAUUUCUAGAAGCGAAAUUCAAGCCAGCGUAGAAGAUUUGUAUAAUCAUCCAAAGACUCAAGCCAUGAGCGGGACAAUUUCUAAUCAUCAAUUUCAUUCUCUCCCAAGAUUGUGCAACAUGUUCAUGAUCAAGUUGCUUAAAAUUCAUGAUAUCAUUAUGGAGAGAGAUAAUCUUAGCCGGCGGAAAGUACUUGGAAAUAUAAGCAUCUUUGCACUUAUCCCAAGAAUCAAUACUAUUUUUGGGCAAAGAUGAAAACCAAGUUUUUGCUCGACCUCGCAAUGAGAAAGGAAAAAAGCUUCAAUUUAAUCACAUCAUUAUCCUCAUCUUUCUUAUUUUGCAUAUCGCAAAGCUCAAUGAAGCUAUUGAGAUGUGAUGCGGCAUCUUCACUAGGAAGGCCGGAAAAUUGCUCUUUAAUACAAGAUUCAGCAAAGCGGCAUUGAUUUCGUAUGACUCCGCACUAGUAGUGGGAGCAAUCGGAGUACUAAUAAAAUCAUUAUUAUUAGUAUUCGAGAAGUCACAAAGUUUGGUGUUUUCAGUCAUGGUGACUUCAGCAAGCAAGCAAGCACACAAGCGAACAAAGAGUAUGCCAUUGGAGUGUGUUGUGAUGGAUUUCAUCCGUAGGACUCUAUUUCUUGUUUCGUUGUUUCCGGUUGAUCCGUAGCUCCGUUCGCCGCGUUCUUUAUAUGUUUGUGCAUCGUUUUCGUGUGAUGCAUCUGUUUAAGUCAUCCUCAUGCAUGUCAAGAUAGCUUAGGUUGCAGUUCUGCCCAGAAGUUUGUAUUUUCUUCUCAUUCAUGUGCAAGUGACUAGAAUAGUGAUGCAUUUUCAUUUUCAUCUCAUGCAUCAUGUGCUUGUUGCAUUUUGUUGUGUUGUUGUUCAUUGGAUGAUAUUUUUAUGUUGGGUAGCACCAGGAUCGGAGAGCGAUUACGUGGAUCCGAGAGAAUACGUGCAGGACGGACAAGAGCAGUUCUAUGCGGAGGACAUCACAGGCAAGAUGAUAUGACCUUUAUUCCAUCUCUAGACUUGUUAUGCUAGAUUCACGUUUCUUUCGUCAUAUGCUCGCUUCCUACCACUGAAACAAUUGCCUCCUGAUAUUGCCAUGAAACCCAAACAAUUUUCCCCUCCUAGCAAAUAUUGAAUGGCUAAGUAGGCUUGCUCAGCUAUUAAUGAUAGCAUUGCUAGUUGCAGGUGAAUUUGUCUCAUGUGAUAACAUGAGUUUGAUAUCAUUAUGUUAAAUCUGUUAUUUAAUUAUUGCACCUAUAUACUUGGUAAAUAACGGAAAGUCUAGACUUUUGCCGGGUGAUUUGUUCCGUUAUUGCCGCCAUAGUUUCCGGCUACCGGUGUUUGAUUCCUAUAACUGAUCGCUCCUAACACGUUCGGGGUUGUUAUGGGGACCCCCUUGAUAAAUCGUGUAGUGUUAAGACUUGUCCGGCAGGACCCAACAUUGGUGUUAAUUUGCUAAUCACUUAAUAAUAAUCUGCAUAGGGAAUAGCUACCCCGAGGAAUUAAUCAACAACCCGGGCCAGUGCUCCUCAUGAGUGUUGGUCCAAACCUGAGCACUGUUCGGGGCGAACUCAGGGCAACUUGAGUGAUUUCUAUCAGGCCAUCGUGCGCGUAGCUCAUCCGUCGUAUCCUGAGACUGAGAUACGCGGCACUUAUCGGGGUCGUCGACACGACGGGAGGUCCUGCUAGUCUUGUCUUACCUUAGCGAUAUAUCUUGUGUAUAGGAAUCCCGGUGAAGCUUUGGUUCUCCCGAGAGUUGAGGUUUUCCUCUAAGGAAUCCGACGAGAUCACGAGAUUCGUGAUAGAGGAUUACUUUGCGGCCCGUGACCGUUUAUGAUGGACUAGUUGGAGCACCCCUGCAGGGUUUAAUCUUUCGGAAAGUCAUGCCUGCGGUUAUGUGGCAAUUUGGAAUAUUUGUUAACAUCCGGUUCUAGAUAACUUGAACUAUUCUAAUAAAAUUGCCAACUGUGUGCGUAACCGUGACUGUCCUCUUCGAAGACCUCUCUUCGAUCGGGAACACGGUGGGGUUAUGUUUGACGUAAGUAGGUGUUCAGGAUCACUUAGUGAUCAGCUAGUCUUUGCCAGCUAGAAUAGACCACCAUCAAUGACUUGUUCUACGUAAGUUAGCCACCAUAAAUGCUUAGGAUGCUGCAACCUAAACACUGGACCUUCCUUAGCUAAUAACUUGACUAGUUCUCGCACCGAGGUCAUAGAUUGCUGAGUUCUCGUGGCUCACAGAUUACUUGAACACCCCAACAGAUACAGGUACGCCAGACACAGAUGAUCCUAACGGCACGCAGCUGGCAUGGCAGGAUGAUGAGGAGAACGACCGCUUGUACGUGAACUAUCCAGAAGACUAAGGCGUGGUCGUUAUCGUGGGCAAGCAUGCAGGGUAGCAUAGCCUUUUUCUCAUGUUAUGUAGUCCGUAGCGGAACUACCUUGUCUGAAUAAAUGUGUGAUGUAAACUAUGAUAUUAUCUAUGAGAUGGCAGAUGAUUCCCUGUUUGUCAUUCUAUUAUUAGGUAUGUGAUAUGUUACCGUGCUUGCGAAAUGCUUAGAUGCGCUUCUUUCCAUUUUGGGGCCUCGUUCCCUAAAUCGGAAAGGACCGCAUCUUAGUCGUUACAAAUCCUCCCUCGACUCCCUGCGAGGAAGCGAUCCCGGGGCAACUAAUUCCAGUUAAGUAACAAUAGUAGUUGUCAACUCCAAGUCUUCCUGUAACCGUGGACACGACUAUUCGAAUAGAUAAGUUCUUCCCUACAGGGGUGCACAAUAUAUUCCCUGACGCGCUAGAUAACACUCUGACCGGACAUACUUUUCUGGGUCAUGCCCGGCCUCGGAAUAUCGACACGUCGCAGCCCCACCUAAGCUCAGCAGAGAGGCCAGCCCGCCGGUCUAACUCCUAAGCACAAAGGGGUCGUGGGCCCACUUACCCUCCGCGCUCCUGCAUGAUGCGUGGGCGAGGUUAGUCCUAGCAUCCCUUAAUCACAAGCAUGAUGCAUCUUGGGACCACUCGGGCGCGCGUCGCACCAUUGCUGACAUCUGAAAAGCUUCGGCUGAUACCGCGGCGUCGAGUGCCCAUAAUUCUUCCCACGUAGACGGUUAGAGCAUAAUAAGGCCUUCCAACCAACCCAGAUCAAAUACCCAAAUCCAUUAUCAUUUUAAUUAGGACAUCGACACAAUCUCGCAGGAAUCCACCCGUCUAACAACUAAUCACCAAUGAUCCCAGUAACAUGGUCGAGUAACUGUGUGGUUGUAACAUCGGGGGGAAUCCAAGGUAUCACCCUCGGGGGUCCCACACUUGAGGGGUUGCACGACAGAGGAAUCGUCGGGAAUGGUGAAAGAGGAAUCACCCUCGAUAACCGCGACCGACUAGGUAUUCUACAGAGAUAUCAUCAUGAGUACUUAGCGAGGUGUCACCCUCGGUACCCGAUAUUAUCUCUGUAGCGUCGCACAACUAAGGGGGUGUAAGUGCGGUGCGGGGUCUGGCUCGUCGAUCAGGGAUCAAGAUUUGAAAGCAAAGCGGGGAAACUGGACUACGGUGUCAGAGGAGAAGACUGCUCCACCUAUACUAAACAGGUUAAAGGUGCAAUACUGAAAGUAGCAGUUCAUUAAAAACAAGCUAUGCAUCAGAUAUAGGAGCUAACUACAACAGUAGCAAAAUACUAAUGCAAGCAUGAGGGAGAAAUACAUAGGCGAUAUAGGGAUGAUCAAGGGGGUUUGCUUGCCUUGCUGCUCUGCGGCAAAGGGCUGGUCGCCAGGGACGCAGAUGUACCUGGUAGCAGCGUCACUCUCGGGGUCUACAAGAAAAGAAAAUAAUGAAGGGAAAAAACAAUAAAUAAGAGAGCAAGCAAACACAGCACAAAGCAUAACAAGGUAAUACACCGUGCUAGGGGUGACCUAACGCAAUACUAAACUUUAUAGACGAAGCGGGAAAAUAUCUCACGAUAUUUCCCGGGUCUUUGACUAUUUCCGAGCAGAUGACCUUAAUGCAAAAUGUCCAAGUUUAUCAUGCUAGAGGCAUGUGACAGAUGAACGGACAGCUUAUUCGGACCCAUUGGGUUUUUCUAAGCAACUUAUAUAUAUAAAUUAGUUUCAUUCGACUUACGGUUUAAUUUCUAUUAAUUUUCAAAGUUUUAAAUAUUUUAAAAUUGUUUAGAACGAGUUUGACCAAGUCAAUUUGACUAGUCAAAAAGGCAGGUGUGGCCUACAUGUCAUAGACUAUAACUAAACAUAUAAAUAAAAACUAACCUAAUUAAAUUAGGUCCACAUGUCAUAAGUUACUAGACUAAUUUAACACUAAUUAAUGCUACCUCAAUCUAGUACUAAUCUAAACAAAAGCUGGCCAUUACUGGGCGGAACCUAGCCAUCCACACACAACACGCACUCAUGCAUAUACACUACACACACUCACGCUAACACACUACACACACGCGUGGCCAUGGGCUGCAGCUGUAGGCAGCGGCAAGAGCUAUUAGCAGUAGCCAGUGGCACUCGCAGUCAGCAGGCGCGCGCGGGCGAGGGAAGCGGCAACACAACAGGCAGUAGGGGAGCGCGACAGCGGACGACGGCGGUGCAGAGCAGCAGCGGGUAGCGCGACGGCGCCAGGCGCGGGAAGGCUCGGCUAGGCACGGGCGGGCGUGUAGGGUGUGUGGACAGUGGCUUGGCCAGCUGCGGGCGCCCACGGCCAAGGCAGCAGGCAGGCGCGAGCAGCAGGAGUAGCAAGCAGAAUCAGUAGGCAGUGAGCAACAACAGUGAGUAGCAGCAUCAGCACGACGAGCAGUUCUAGAGCAACGACAUCACUAGAAGAAGCAGCAGUAAGCAAGCGACAGCAAAGCAGUAGCAGGCACGACGCACGCACGUACGCGUACACUCGGGGACAGUGACAAACGGCGAAGAAUCGAGCCGGUAAACGAUUGGAAUCGGGCGAGGAACUCAACACGGAGCUCAUGGACGUGGUUAGGGAGCGCGGGGGCGACCGGACGCGAUGAGUUCGACGAUGCAGUGUGACGACCGUGGCGGAAAACAGUCUCGAUGUUGAGCGUACGGGCCGUCCCGAUUUGAGCUGGUCCCCGGAAAGGACGGAUCCGGUCGCGGCGGACCUCCUGGACGUGCUUCCGCACGCCGAAGAGGCCGUUGGACGCGUCAACGACGGCGAGGCAGCGGUGACCACGAAUUUUUCGAGCUCGAAUUCGAUCCUAAAGGGGAGGGGGCUCGAUGGGGAACGAGAGGGG
rnacentral:lncRNA from 1 species